rnacentral:rRNA from 1 species
UACAGAGGUCCCAAGCGUUGUUCGGAUUUACUGGGCGUAAAGGGUGCGUAGGUGGUGGACUAAGUCGGGUGUGAAAUCUCCGGGCUCAACCCGGAGCAUGCGUCCGAAACUGGUUCGCUAGAGGAUGGGAGGGGAGACUGGAAUUCUCGGUGUAGCAGUGAAAUGCGUAGAUAUCGGAAGGAACAUCAGUGGCGAAAGCGACUUCCUGGACCAAUACUGACGCUCAUGUGCGAAAGCGUGGGGAGCAAACAGG